ensembl:lncRNA
GGGGGCUGUGCUGAGGCGGUUUUUGCGGAAAACUUUCCCAGCGUGAUGCUUCAGGCUGACCUGCCAGGCAGCCCUGCACCCAACAGUGACGCUGCCACAGGACUCGCUUGCAAUGCAGUAGCCCCACAGAUUAAGUAAAACGCUACCCGGCAGCUGCCAGGUACAUACCUUGCCUGCAGCAAUGUCCUGCGUGAGGUGGUAGUUAGCAGCUGAGAUGCUUUUGCGAGGAACAGCACAACGAGGACCUGCAGAGGCCAAGCGUUCUGCGCACAGCUCGAUGACCGUGCUGAAGCGGAGCCCUCGGGAAGCUGCAGAGCAGUGCUGUGGCUGGUCUGCGUGCUGGGCAUCGAGGGGCAGCUUCCAGGCAGCCCCGGGAAAUCUCCUCACUGCUGCCCGUGGUCGGAGGAUGACACAAGGCCCCACGUCAAAGAGCACGGCGGCCAGACCUCACCAGGCUUUCCUGUGUCUCAUCUGGGAUUCAUCACAGUAAGUCUGACUAGCUCCAGGAGCAGACCUCUGUUUCCUGUGAGGCAGUGAGAGUGACAAUCUGCAAUCGCUGAGACACCUAAAAACAAAAUGUUUAUGUAGAAUGAAAGUGUUUUGGAGGGGAAAAAAAAGUUUGUAUUAUCUCUAACCCAUGAGCAGGGGAGACACAUUUCAGAUUUCAACUCCCUGCAUGCUUCUAGGCAAAUGCAAACAGAAAUCCCCCCUUAGCCCACUGAAAAAGUUCUUCGACCUUUUGGUGUCUGUCUGAUCCUUUGCACUGUAGGUUGGACAAAUAAGUCUUGCAGUCCAUUCCUGUCAUAAAUCCUGCCCCCAUCUGUUUAAUGGCUUAACUUUCAGUCAUCCAACUGUACGCUGGGAUCCACUGUGUCUCUUCCCUGUUUGUACAGCCCCUGUUAAGUCACAUGGAAACUCUUACUGCAGCCUGCCAAAUGUCCCUUGUUCCUCAAGCAAACCUCAGAUAGUGAUACUCCAUCUCAGAAUUUGUAACAUUUUACGUCACCUUCAUGUCCAGCAAAAAGGUUAUAUUAGACACACAUUUAAUGCUCGCAAGCAGUUCAGCCAUCUGUUUAAAAAUCAUGCAAAAGGCUGAGGUAACCCCGGCAUCAACAACUGAAGGUCAUGUUCCAUUUCAGUCUGAACUGAUGCAAGCUAGGACUUUGGAGUGGUUGGAAAAGUAAAUCACAUCUUAGGUGCUUGGUGAUUAAACCUCAGCAUGGACUCCAUGUGUUUUACUUUGUUUUUCAGCAUGGCUUCCUUUAUUCUGUGCUUAACGCUAGACAGAAGAACAGUUUUAUUAAUGUCUCAAAUUGCUCAUUUAUGCUAAUGUAAAACUGAGAUACCUAGCAAAUUUCCACUCCAGAUCUGUCAGAAAGAGCAGAAUUUCUCCUAAUACAAGCAAAUUCAAAGACUGUGUUUGGCUUUUUCAGAGGAGUCAAGCUGAUACAGGACUAUAAACUCCAUUGAUUCUCAGUGAUUUUCACAUUACUGACUCCCUUCAGGUAUAUUUGAAAGGUCUAUUGUUUUUGUACAAUUCCUCACAAUAAUCCACAUCUGUGGAGGCAUUAACUUUCAAUUUACACUUCAGAAGAAGUCAAACUGAAGUCAGGCUUAUGCUAGUCGUGUCACCCAAAUUUGAUCUAUAUUCAACCAUUUUCCUAGUCAAAAGCAACCUAGACAGCUAAGCCACCACUCAUGAUUUAUUCAGGGUAAGACUCUGCUAGGAGUGAGAUACAAAGAUUAGAGAUCUUCUUACAGAUAACAACACAAAAUAUGCACAAGUUUUGCAAGCGCAGUUGAAAAGUGUUUUAUUGCUUGCUGCUGUCCACUGGAUGCUUGAAUCUUUAGCUUAAGAUCUAAUGUAACAUUUUGCUUUAUAUCCCACAGAGGCUAUGCUUUCCCUGCAAAGAAGCUGUAAGUAGUAGUUUUGGUUUGACUUGGAGUAAGGAGAGCCAAUGCAAAGCCAUACUGGCUUACAGCAAGGUGCAGUACCGUGUAUUCACCUGGGACUCCUGAGGGCCUCGCUCUGGGUCCCAGCACGGCAGCCUGUCCCUUCCUGCUCUUUCCAAGUAAUUGCAGAAUGCAGGGACUAAGCCUUCAGACAGCUUAGCCUGCAUCCACACUGUUACUAGCAGUGAGAACAAGCCGUAUCUAUGCUUAGCACUUAGACCUGUAUGAUGGGACAGGUCUGCUGUGGUGUAAAUUACUAAUACAUACCUGAGCUUGAGGUUUAUGUAUUUGCAGUUAGAAAUCAGAUGAAGAGCAACAUCUGAAUUAAUAAUGAAGUGAAGACAAACUCAGAUAUAGUGAGAACGGACAGCUUAUUACACAAAACCACCCAUGAGAAAACAGCAGUAGGAAAUGUGUAAACCACAUACCGCUUCUGCCACCAAAACCUCAAUGAAGUACUUGUCUCAGAGCCUAAUAAAUAAAUACUAGCUUUAUUAGGCA